AUGUCGGUGGUGGGGCUGAAGAACCAUUUCUACAAGGCAAGCCAGCUGGUCAGUGAGAAGGUGGAAGGGGCUGAGGGGACCAAGCUGGAUGAUGACUUCAAAGAGAUGGAGAAGGUGGAUGUCACCAACAAGGCGGUGACGGAAGUGCUGGCCAGGACCAUCAAGUACCUGCAGCCCAACCCAAGCCUCGCAGGUAAGCUGACCAUGCUCAACAUGGUGUCCGAGAUCCGGGGCCAGGUGAAGAACCCCAGCUACCUGCAGUCGGAGGGGCUCCUGAGCGAGUGCCUGAUCCCCCACCUGAAGGAGCUAGGCGGUGAGUCCAACGUCGGUGACACACUGCUGGAUGUUGGCAAGUCCAUGAAGCACCUGGUGGAGGUGAAGGACUCCUUGGACAUAGAGGUCAAGCAGAACUUUAUUGACCACCUCCAGAACCUGUGCGAGAACGACCUGAAGGAGAUCCAGCACCACCAGUUGGAGGGCCGACGCCUGGACUUUGACUAAAAGAAGAAGCGGCAGGGCAAGAUCCCCAAUGAGGAGCUGCGCCAGGUGCUGGAGAAGUUUGAGGAGUCCAAGGAGGUGGCAGAAACCAGCAUGCGCAACCUCCUGGAGACCAAUAUCGAGCAGGUGAGUCAGCUCCCAACCCUGGUGGAGGCGCAGCUGGACUGCUACCGGCGGGCCAUGCAGAUCCCGGACAAGCUGGCAGAGUAGCCCAAGCGCAGAAUGCAGGAAGCUUCCUCACGCCCCAAGCGGGAGUAUAAGCCCAAGUCCCGGGAGCCCUUUGACCUCGGAGAGCCUGAGCAGUCCAACGGGGGCUUCCCCAGCACCACAGUCCCCAAGAUCACAGCUUCCUCUUUCCGAUCUUCCGACAAGCCCAUCUGGACUCCUAGCAGGAGCAUGCCACCCAUAGACGAGCGGAGCUGCAAGGUGCUGUACAACUUCGAACCCUAGAACCAUGGGGAGCUGGGCUUCCAUGAGGGUGACGUCAUCACCUUGACCAACCAGAUCAACUACAACUGGUAUAGGGCAUGCUGGACGGCCAGUUGGGCUUCUUCCUGCUCAGCUACGUGGACACGCUCGUGCCCCUGCCGCAGUGACUCGCCAGCGCCCCGCCCCUCUGUCCACACUGGGCGGCACCCCCUGCCGGGUCUUCUGCCUUCCUCCGGGCUCCUGCUGCUAGGAUGGUUUCCGAGCCUGCCGGUGUCACCCAGUCCCAGGUCCUCGAGGUACUCCCUGAGCAGGGAGCCACACUUGGGUGGGGGGCUUAUCUGGGUGGGUGGGGACGCCUGUUUACACUGGCGCUGACCCCCAACGGUGACAGCUCCCUUCCCUACUGCAUUGCGCCAGCCUCCUCCUCACUCCCCAACUCCUUGCCUAGCUGGCCCAGGUGGGGCUAAUCCUAAGGUACUCUCACAAACACUAGUGUUCCACCGCGGCAGCACCCACCUCCGUCCUGAUCCCACAGGGACCCGGCCCACUGCCUGCCCUCGUGUCCUGUGGCCUUAACAGGAUGAGAUCGAGCGUCCCCCGGGUUGGCUCAGAGACAGGACCUUGGUUUUAAAUCCUGUCCCAGCCUGGUGCUGGAGAUGGGCUCUGACCCCACUCCAGGGCCACUGCACCCCCACCUCACACAUGCACUCCUUCUCCCCAAGGCCAGGGCAGAGGGCCUCACUGCUUCCCCUGCCUGCUGUCAGCUUGCAGCCCGGGGACAGAGGCCAGCUGGGAUCUGGAUCUCCUCUAUAGACAGCAGGCGGCCCUGGGGUCUCCAGACCCCUGCCCAGACCAGUAGGUCCGCAGCCCCAACAUCUGCUUCCUCUGUCACCCGAUCCAAAAUCGAUGAAAUGGGGGGUCCUCUGGACUGGGCCACAUUCACAUUCCUCUCCCACUGUGGCCCAGCCUGAAGCCUCUGGACCCCAGGCUCUGCUCUGCGCCCUCUUUGUCAGCAGUACAUGAAGGGCGCAGACACCCUGGCAGAGAUGAGCACACAGCCUUGGACACGGUCCAGCGCAAAGUGAAAUGUGUGCCUGAAUUUUGUAAACAGAAGUAUUAAAUGUCUUUCUACAAAAAGAAAAAAAAAAAUCAUGAACACUAAAUGUAAUGUCUGAUGUUUGGUGAUGUUUGAUUGGAUUCUCAAUUUUUUAAGCCAUGAUAUGAUUAGGACAAUUGUGAAAAUGUGUAUAUGGACUACAUAGUAGGCAAUGAUAAUAUUAUUAAGUUUCCUUGGGUGAUGAUAGUAUUCUGGUUAUGUAGGAGAAUGCCUUAGUUCUUGGGGGCUGCACACUGAAGUCUUUAAUGGUGAAGGGUCGUUAUGUCUGCAACUGACUCAAAUAGUUUGUCCAGAAAAUGUAUAGACAAACACACAUGGAAAGCAAAUGUGACAAAGUAUUAGCUACUGUGGAUUCCAGAUGAAAGUUAUACAGGUGUUCGUUAGACCAUUUGAAAAUGCUUCCCAGCCAUCCUAAGGCUUAAAGAAAAAAAAAAGAAAAUGUUUAAAAUCAAAAGUUGGGGGCAGGAAAAGAAUAACAAAACCUCUAGGCUCGUGCCU